rnacentral:rRNA from 1 species
GUUGAACGCUGGCGGCGUGCCUAAUACAUGCAAGUCGAGCGAACAGACGAGGUGCUUGCUCCUCUGACGGUAGCGGCGGACGGGUGAGUAACACGUGGCUAACCUACCUAUAAGACUGGGAUAACUUCGGGAAACCGGAGCUAAUACCGGAUAAUAUAUUGAACCGCAUGGUUCAGUAGUGAAAGACGGUUUUGCUGACACUUAUAGAUGGAUCCGCGCCGCAUUAGCUAGUUGGUAAGGUAACGGCUUACCAAGGCAACGAUCAGUAGCCGACCUGAGAGGGUGAUCAGCCACACUGGAACUGAGACACGGUCCAGACUCCUACGGGAGGCAGCAGUAGGGAAUCUUCCACAAUGGGCGAAAGCCUGACGGAGCAACGCCGCGUGUGUGAAGAAGGUCUUCGGGUCGUAAAACUCUUUUAUUAGGGAAGAAAAAAUGUGGAAGUAACUCUGCACUUCUUGACGGUACCUAAUCAGAAAGCCACGGCUAACUACGUG